rnacentral:lncRNA from 1 species
GUAGGUGUCUUGCGGGGGCACGGGAUGUACGGGACAGGCCUCUCCCUAAACAUAGAGAGAUAGUGCUAUCGUGCUGACCUUGUUGCAGAGAAAACAGGAGAAGAAGAAGGAUGAUAAAAGAAUGCGGAAACGGCCAAAUAAGGCACAAUGUUAUCUGGUGUGAACUAAUCAGAGUGGGACAUGACAGCACGGUUAUCUAGGUAAAAAUGUUAUCUGGUGUGAACUAAUCAGAGUGGGACAUGACAGCACGGUUAUCUAGGUAAAAUGUAUAUAAGCUGUGUUUAGUAGUGAAUAAACGCCAUUUGCCUCACUUACUCCUGGGGUCUGGGUGAGCAUCUGGCCCCGACCUGGUAAAGGGUCGGUUUCGCCCAGCAGUAAGCCCUACAUGUGGACAGAGGACGAACACCGGACGAGCGAACGGAGACUACAUGCAACAGCUGAGAGCAGCCUUUCAGUAUCUAAAGGGCGUCUAUUAGAAAGAAGGGAACAGACUCUUCAGCAGGGUCUGCUGUGAUAGAAAAAGGGGAAUUGGUCUCAAACUAAAAGAAGGGAGAUUUAGACUGGAUAUAAGAAAGAAGUUUUUGUAAUAAGGGUAGUGAGGCACUGGAGCAGAUUGCCCAGAGAGGUUGUGGAUGCCUCGUCCCUGGAGACACUCAGUGUCAGGCUGGAUGGGGCUCUGAGCAACCUGAUGUAGCUGCACGUGUCCCUAUUCAUCACAGGGGGGUUGGACUAGAUCAUAGAAUCAUAGAACCAUAGAACCAUAGAAUCACAGAAUCACAGAAUGGCCGGGGUUGAAAAGGACCUCAAAGAUCAUCCACUUUCAACCCCCCUGCCAUGGACAGGGCCGCCAACCACUAGAGCAAGCUCUGUCCAGAGCCACAUCCAGCCUUGCCUUGAAUGCCUCCAGGAAUGGAGUAUCCACAACCUCGCUGGGCAACCUGUUCCAGUGCAUCACCACCCUCUGAGUGAAAAAUAAAAAUAGAUGACCUCUCAGGGUCCCUUCCAACUCAG